AUUCAUUAUGCAAAACAGAGGUGAGGCGUGCAGACAGGACACAAGAGUAGAGAAGUGGGCGGCGCUCGUGUUGCAUGUUUGCUUGUAAAUACUCUAUUCUUGUGUCCUGUCUGCACGCCUCACCUUCGUUUUGCAUAACGAGUGUAUCAACCCACAUAUUAAUAGCGUAGGCGUUUUAUUAACUGUGCAAUAUUUUCAACACUUCCUUGCAUGCCAUUACAUGUGGAAUAUCUUUUUUGGUCACAAAUUUGUGCAGCGAAUCUAUUUGCAUGAUCGACUUCGGGCCUGUAUAUAGGUCCGUUCACUUGCACUUGAUGCUGAGUCUUUUACAUGUAUCCAUAAACUGCAGAUAUGCAAAUCAGAUCCCUGCGAGCAUUUUCAAAAUUCAGUUAUUUUAGACAACAGGCACGUAUGCAAUACUGACAUAAUCUCAAAUACCACUAAGCAGCUGGGACACAUUUUUGUUGACCAUACUCGCAGGUAAAAUAAGUAGGUUAUGUGGACAGCUCCAGCUCAUUUUCCUUAAAUCAGUGUGUACAAGGGGUAUGCAAAAAUAAUUUUUUUCUCGCGCACCGAUUCUUUUGCUGUAUAAGCAAGAGAACCCACCACGUUAGUGUAACGUAUCUUGUACAUCACACUAAUAAGUGCUUUAAUUUACCAAGUGAGAUGAGUUACUUUUAUGGAUCAUUCAGUUAUAUCACACUGCAAGCUGCAUUCAUCAAUCUUCAAUUGGAUUUCGCAUGAAACAUGUUUCCCUUUUAUGCAGAUAUGCAAUGGCAAGCCCUUCCGUGUGUUCCAAAGGUAAAAUUUAAGCUCGAAAUUAAAGAAGACAUUUCUAGUCAUAACCAAGCAAAAAUGGUGAAUUCAGAGUAUCAGAAGCCCAAGGUACAGAAAUUAUGAGAUGUGUCGAAUGAUUUUAAGGAAAGAAUGGUAUUUGAAGAUGCAAGAUUCUUUAGUGGAAAUCAAGCAAGUCAGUAUAGGUAGAAUACUCUGAGAAAUUAUGCGAGUAAUGAGAUAGCACACAAUGGGUCAGGAAAUGCGUUGUUUUUCUGAAAAACUAAAGCUGAUGACUGUCAUAUCAUGAGUCACUUUAGCAUCAUGAGACUGCUGUUUGAUAAAUUCAGAAACAAACCAAAAAGCAAGCCACGCAAAAAUAAAAAAAAAAACUAUUUAAUGAUGCUCUCUCCACACUGGGAUAAAUAAUAAGAAACGGAUCACGUCUAAUGUAGACAUAUCAGACACCUUGUGAAACACUAAAGGAAAAGUUCAGUUUCGAGCUAUGGCACUUGCCACAUAGAUGUGGGGGGCCUUGCACCAAUAGUAAUAGUUACCACUGCAUCUAGAAAUUUAAAGCAUUCAUGCAGACAAGGAUGAUUCUUUAUAUUUUUGGCUACCGCUUCAAAUGCCUCCACUAAGUGUUACAAUGCUGCACGCAGCCAUACUAAGGAUCUCACAGCAACACUUGCAGGUAAACAGCAAAAGUGCUGGUGUAUUCUGGACACUGUCUUUGAAAACUUUUAGGCAAGAACAGUGCAAGAAACAGACAUAAGAACUGCAUUUAUUUCUAUAAUUCCCCAUUUGAAUGGCCUUUUCUUUUUCCUUCGACAAUGCCUUCGCCUAGCCACAGCAGCUCCCUCAUACAGACUCCACAAGCCAAGAGGCCGUGGAGGCAAAUGCAGACAGGCAGCACACCUCGAACAGCCACCUUGACUGCGGGUGUGUCACCCUAGUCGCCAAGGAAACAUUUGAGGGAAAGCGACAGGCAAUGUGAACAGCCACUUCUCCAUGUAAACGAUACUCUUUCUUUCGGAUGACUCCUACGUUCGCCACGCCAGCACACUUGUGCACAAAGAUGCCGCGGAGGCACGUGCAGGUCAGAGGCAAGAAGCAGUGGCACUAAUGUCGACAUUCGCCCAAUUUCUUUUUCUUACACUGAGGCAGCCAGUACACCUCGAACAGCCACCUUAACUGCGGGUGUGUUAGUAGAUUCCUGUUGUACAUAUGCUCAUAAUAAACUUGAGUAAACUUGAAGGCAAAUGGGACAUUGAUGCAUUGUUUUUUUGAACAUUUAUUGUACACAUACAAUAUAUGUUAUACUUUGCAGUGCUACAGAGCGUAUUUUGAAGCUUCCCCCUAUAUUUUGCACCUUUAAUUACGUAUGUGUUGUGUGGCCCUCAAUUCAGUUCAUGUUGUAGCAGAUGUUUUGUCUGUGUAUCGCACAUUGGCUUAAGCUCGUGAUAUCCACAUACUUCUCUCACAUAUACAAAAUAAAGUUCUAUGUAGUCCUCAGUGUUACAACAAAAAAUGAAAGUAAACAAUCCGAUCGUGGAAUUGUGUUUAUUACAGUCAUUCCUAUGACAGUUACUGACAAGUUGACAACUUGAACUGGUCAAUCCGUCCAUAGCCUCCUCUAUUU